UACGGAGGGUGCAAGCGUUGUUCGGAAUUACUGGGCGUAAAGCGCGUGUAGGCGGCUUCUUAAGUCUGAUGUGAAAGCCCGGGGCUCACCCCCGGAAGUGCAUUGGAAACUGGGGAGCUAGAGUACCGGAGAGGAGGGUGGAAUUCCUGGUGUAGCGGUGAAAUGCGCAGAUAUCAGGAGGAACACCAAUGGCGAAGGCAGCUCGCUGGGACGGUACUGACACUGAGACGCGAAAGCGUGGGGAGCAAACAGA
rnacentral:rRNA from 1 species